rnacentral:rRNA from 1 species
GAUCAUGGCUCAGGACGAACGCUGGCGGCGUGCUUAACACAUGCAAGUCGAACGAGAAUCUGUGGAAAGAGGAUUCGUCCAAUUGAAACAGAGGACAGUGGCGGACGGGUGAGUAACGCGUGAGGAACCUGCCUUUCAGAGGGGGACAACAGUUGGAAACGACUGCUAAUACCGCAUGACACAUUGAGGUCGCAUGGCCUUGAUGUCAAAGAUUUAUCGCUGAAAGAUGGU